rnacentral:tRNA from 1 species
CCCCAGCUAGCUCAGUCAGCACGGCGUGAGACUCUUAAUCUCAGGGUUGUGAGUUCAAGCCCCACAUUGGGCA